GUGGAUGUAGCUCAGUCGGUUAGAGCGCCAGGUUGUGGCCCUGGAGGUCGCGGGUUCGAAUCCCGUCAUUCACCCCA
rnacentral:tRNA from 1 species